AUCAACAUAAGUAGAUAAAGAGCGAAGAGCUCUGAUGACCUGGAGUUUUUCGUCGUCCUCUCACGUGCCGCGCAUGUGAUUGAGACGUUGUUUUCUUCGCGCAUUGCGCGCCUCUUCUCCUCUGCCGAAACCCCAUGUGCCUUCUGCUGCGUUGUCUGCCUCUUCUUCCCACUGUCUUCUCUCUCUCUCUUUCUUUGGGCAAUGUUGCUCUGUUGCUUAUCCGACUAUUCUGAGCCUUGGUACGAGAGCCUGUUGAGCUAACCGGUUAUCUUCUAACCACGCAGGUAUCAGCGAGCCUCGGUCUCUCGCGUUCUUUGGGUUGCUGUGUUCCAGGCAUUUGGCUCUCCUCCUCUUCCUCCGCUGUGAGUUUUCUUCUUCUUUCUUUUCUUCUUUUCCGGUGAGGUGCAAUUUUUCCCAUUAGCUUUCUGCGUGAAUCUUUAGCCUGGAACUGAUGUUUUUGUUCUUUGUUCCCCUUCUCCAGACGCGCAAGGACCAUCGAACCUCUGUCCCUCGCGUUUCACUGGGUCUCAGUCGUCCAGAUCAGCUGCGGUGCGUUCGAUUUUCCUCCUCCUCCUCCGUUGUAAGUUUCAUUGUUCUUCCUUUAUGUUGAGGUGCGGUCUUCUCUGUUAGCUUCCCCUGUAUUUUUUUUUUCUUUAUUUCUUUUUUCAACUGGCUCUUGUUUUGCUCUCGGGAAAGGUUCGAUCUUGCCACCCGUUUGGAUCACCUCCUCCUCCGCCGUUUGGAUCGUGCUUCGUUGUGCCUCUCUCUGCAUUUUUUAGCCUAGAGUUGCUAUUUUUCCUCGAACCAGAGGCGUCUAUUCUCCGUCACAAGCUCACCGAGAAGGACGCCAUCAUCGCCGACCUUCAGUCCCUCGAUGCCUCCCUUUCUGACGCUUCCGACAAACUCACCCUCGCUGCCCAAGAAAAGGUCCGAUUCUUAUAACCAACCCGACCACUUGAACCGUUUUACUUCUCCAAUUACUACUUAUAGCUCUAAGUUUUCUUCUUCUUCUUCUUCAAAUGCUUAUCUUUAGCCACAAUCCCAACAGAAGAAGCAAUACCCUCCAUGUUAAUUCUCUGCCCUAAUGCAGCUUUCAAAUCUACCCACCACAUGUUUGUAAAAAUACCCGAGUGGAUCUCUAAAUCACUAUAUGCUGUUUCUAGAUAUUCUCUUUUCUGGGUUCUCUGAGUUUCAAUGGAAGAGUAACAACUUUGUGAAAAUGAGUUUUUUUCUGACAUGGGUACUGGGGGUUUUUUGGGCUUUUUCUCCUUUCCUGUUCUUUGCUGCAACUAUUUGUUGCUGUAAGUGUCAGAGGGGUCCUGGUGAAUAACGUUUCUGGGGAAUAGAGGGAAUAAGCAUUGCUCGAAAAAUGGAGAUUUUGAAGGUAGAAACGUUUAGGGAUGGGAUAAUAGCAAGUGUUCCAUGGAGUAGCCGAGGUUGUUAGCAUGUUCAACCAAUACUACUGUUUUCCUGAUUAAUUUAAGAUCAAAUAUGGUUUAAAACGUGACGAUUGGAGAUUGGAUUUUUAAUUUUCCCAGUGGAGAUAAAAUCCAAUGCUGGCCUGAGCCACAGAAACAUGAUACUGGAAUGAAUUGAUGUUGGGUCAGUGCAGCCGGUUCUGUGCCAACCAUAGGCGACGUUCUUGAUGGGGUGAUGAAACUUCCUGAUAAGUGAUGAAAUCCGGUUGUCUUUAUAGUCUGGCCUGUAUUUCCUUUAUUUUUUUGGUAAAAAUUUUGUGGGGAUUGAUUACUUUUACUUGAUUUUAGUUUAUAUAGUUAUUUUCUGCAGCUAAAGUCUGUCAUUUUAAUUUUAAUUUGGUCAUAUGGAAUGUAUACUAUUAUUAUUUUUGGGAUUGAAUUUACUGUUUUCAGCUGCUCUUGACUUAUAAUUUUGAUUUUGUUCUUUUAUUAUGCUCACGUUAUUACAAUUCUAUUACUAAUACGUGACCUUAAUGAAAAAGAAUAUAAAAAAAUGGUCCAAAGUUUUUUCUUUUUGUUUUUUUGGGUUGAGAUAAUUCUUAAACUUUUUGAUGGAUUGAUCAUAUGCCUCUAGAAUGUCAUUGUCUAUCCCUAAAAAUGUAGAGGGAAGAAAACACAUAAACAAAACAUAAAUCACAAAAUUCAACAACAACAAGUUAUUAGUUUCUAAUACUAUGUUAAUCUGACAUGAUAUUUUAGUGCCCUGAGAACGGCAUUAGUGAAAAACAAACAUGGCUCUCUCAUAUGAUCUUCAUAGAAAUAAGAAAAAAGCAACUUUCUGAUAGAUUCUAACUUGGUGUUGUAAGAAUCUACAAUUCCACGGGGCAUAUAAGUCUUAGACUCAUACACCUGUUCUGUUUUUCAUGGUCUAGCCAUUUCUGUCAAACCAAUACCAAUUAAGCAAAGCAAUGAAAUAAAAGUCUUUUUAUUUCACUUAUAGAGAAACAAGUAGAAAUAAGACAGUACAAGAUACUACUCCAAGAUAAAAUAGAGAACUCACAAGCUAAAAUAGAGAAAAAAAAUUGAAAAAAAAUUUAUCAAACGAGCAAGGAAAGUACUAAGAGCAAAAAAGUUUUUAAAAUUCACCGACCACCACGACUAAAUGCUAAAUCAAUCAAAUCUGACUGGUCAAAGCGUUAUUGUGUUGUUCUAUUUUGUUCUAUUCUGUUUGCAUAGGCCGUAGGAUUGUGUAAGGUGUUGAAAGAAAAUCAAGAUUUGAUUUUUACUAACUAAUUUCACGUGGCUAUAAGUCACUUUUACAACUAUCUGUGCUGCCGUCGCUUCCUAUUUUGCGAUCAAAUGCAUCAUUUACUAUUUCCAAGGCAAGCAUUCACAAGAUAAAAUAGUAAAAAAUUAUCAAAUGAACAAGAAAAAUAAAAAGAGCAAAAUUUUUUUUGAAAUUCACCGAUCAUCGCGGCUAAAUGUUGAAUCAAUCGAGUCUUACUGCUUAAAGCGUUAUUGCGUUGUUUCAGUGCAUAGGGUUCAAUCAGGAGUGACUGGAUUUGAGAAAGUUGAAAAUUCAAAAGAAUGAAUAAGAACAAUAUUAAUUUUCAGAUUGUUCUAACCAUGUUGCCGGUCCCUUUUAUACAACAAUUUCAAGAGUCCCUACCACCGCCUUUCUACUGCUUCAAUUUAGGUUUAAAAAAUUUGAUUUUUGUUAACUAAUUUCACGUGGCUACUAGUAACGGAUUUAUAAUGAUCUGUUGACGUGGCUUCCUAUCCGUCCCUAUUAACGAUCAAACACAUCAUUGCUACUUUCAUGGUAAGCAAUGCAUGCGCCAGUUUUAUAAGAAAAAUACUUUAUAAAUGUAUGUCUACACGCUUUUAAUAUCCCAAACGUAACCAUAUGCAACCAUGCAUGCAUGCGUGCAUGGCAAGUAGAGAAAAUAUGCUAAAAAUAGAGAAAAUAGGAGCAUUCGGUCCUUAUUGUCAAGACCAUUAGAUCAUGCAGAAUUUCAAAAUUGAAUCAGGUUCAUGUUUCUAUUUCUUAUUUCUAUUGAAAACCGACCACAUGGUUGGUGAUAAUAAUAAUUGUUAAAAAAGAAAUUUCCUACGAUGCAACGCCUUUUUUUAUGUUGCUCCAUAUGUCCAUAAUGGAAAGUAUCAUCGUCUUGUCGCUUCCCAUCUGCUGUUUCCUCAUCUUUGUUGCCACAUGUUUCGCAUGUCUCAGCAUCACCACCCAUUUCAAUGUCGCCUCCAUGUUCAUAGUCUCCUCCUCUUGUUCUGCUAAUCCUAUCCCUUCUUCUCCUGCUCCUGAAAGUAGCUAUAGAUUUAUGGAAAUGCGUGAUCUGUUACAAAAAUGUGAAUAAAUUUAUGUUCACAAUCAUAAUCAUUUGUACAGAUGCUACUAUAAAAUAACUAACCCUCGGUUGGGCGCGGGCGUGGGAGUGGGAUUCGAUUUCAUAUGCCUCUAGAAUGUCAUUGUCUAUCCCUAAAAAUGUAGAGGGAAGAAAACACAUAAACAAAACAUAAAUCACAAAAUUCAACAACAACAAGUUAUUAGUUUCUAAUACUAUGUUAAUAUGACAUGAUAUUUUAGUGCCCUGAGAACGGCAUUAGUGAAAAACAAACAUGGCUCUCUCGUAUGAUCUUCAUAGAAAUAAGAAAAAAGCAACUUUCUGAUAGAUUCUAACUUGGUGUUGUAAGAAUCUACAAUUCCACGGGGCAUAUAAGUCUUAGACUCAUACACCUGUUCUGUUUUUCAUGGUCUAGCCAUUUCUGUCAAACCAAUACCAAUUAAGCAAAGCAAUGAAAUAAAAGUCUUUUUAUUUCACUUAUAGAGAAACAAGUAGAAAUAAGACAGUACAAGAUACUACUCCAAGAUAAAAUAGAGAGAACUCACAAGCUAAAAUAGAGAAAAAAAAUUGAAAAAAAAUUUAUCAAACGAGCAAGGAAAGUAGGAAGAGCAAAAAAGUUUUUAAAAUUCACCGACCACCACGACUAAAUGCUAAAUCAAUCAAAUCUGACUGGUCAAAGCGUUAUUGUGUUGUUCUAUUUUGUUCUAUUCUGUUUGCAUAGGCCGUGGGAUUGUGUAAGGUGUUGAAAGAAAAUCAAGAUUUGAUUUUUGCUAACUAACUUCACGUGGCUAUAAGUUACUUUUACAACUAUCUGUGCUGCCGUCGCUUCCUAUUUUGCGAUCAAAUGCAUCAUUUACUAUUUCCAAGGCAAGCAUUCACAAGAUAAAAUAGUAAAAAAUUAUCAAAAUGAACAAGAAAAAUAAAAAGAGCAAAAAUUUUUUUGAAAUUCACCGAUCAUCGCGGCUAAAUGUUGAAUCGAUCGAGUCUUACUGCUUAAAGCGUUAUUGCGUUGUUUCAGUGCAUAGGGUUCAAUCAGGAGUGACUGGAUUUGAGAAAGUUGAAAAUUCAAAAGAAUGAAUAAGAACAAUAUUAAUUUUCAGAUUGUUCUAACCAUGUUGCCGGUCCCUUUUAUACAACAAUUUCAAGAGUCCCUACCACCGCCUUUCUACUGCUUCAAUUUAGGUUUAAAAAAUUUGAUUUUUGUUAACUAAUUUCACGUGGCUACAAGUAACGGAUUUAUAAUGAUCUGUUGACGUGGCUUCCUAUCCGUCCCUAUUAACGAUCAAACACAUCAUUGCUACUUUCAUGGUAAGCAAUGCAUGCGCCAGUUUUAUAAGAAAAAUACUUUAUAAAUGUAUGUCUACACGCUUUUAAUAUCCCAAACGUAACCAUAUGCAACCAUGCAUGCAUGCGUGCAUGGCAAGUAGAGAAAAUAUGCUAAAAAUAGAGAAAAUAGGAGCAUUCGAUCCUUAUUGUCAAGACCAUUAGAUCAUGCAGAAUUUGAAAAUUGAAUCAGGUUCAUGUUUCUAUUUCUUAUUUCUAUUGAAAACCAACCACAUGGUUGAGUGAGUAAUAAUUGUUAAAAAAGAAAUUUCCUACGAUGCAAUGCCUUUUUUUAUGUUGCUCCAUAUGUCCACAAUGGAAAGUAUCAUCGUCUUGUCGCUUCCCAUCUGCUGUUUCCUCAUCUUUGUUGCCACAUGUUUCGCAUGUCUCAGCAUCACCACCCAUUUCAAUGUCGCCUCCAUGUUCAUAGUCUCCUCCUCUUGUUCUGCUAAUCCUAUCCCUUCUUCUCCUGCUCCUGGAAGUAGCUAUAGAUUAAUGGGAAAUGCGUGAUCUGUUGCAAAAAUGUGAAUAAAUUUGUGUUCACAAUCAUAAUCAUAUGUACAGAUGCUACUAUGAAAUAACUCACCCUCGGUUGGGAGCGGGAGUGGGAUUCGAUUUCAUAUGCCUCUAGAAUGUCAUUGUCUAUCCUUAAAAAUGUAGAGGGAAGAAAACACAUAAACAAAACAUAAAUCACAAAAUUCAACAACAACAAGUUAUUAGUUUCCACUACUAACUUAAUCUGACAUGAUAUUUUAGUGCCCUGAGAACGGCAUUAGUGAAAAACAAACAUGGCUCUCUCAUAUGAUCUUUAUAGACAUAAGAAAAAAGCAACUUUCUGAUAGAUUCUAACUUGGUAUUGUAAGAAUCUACAAUUCCACGGGGCAUAUAAGUCUUACACUCAUACACCUGUUCUGUUUUUCAUGGUCUAGCCAUUUCUGUCAAACCAAUACCAAUUAAGCAAAGCAAUGAAAUAAAAGUUUUUUUAUUUCACUUAUAGAGAAACAAGUAGAUAUAAGACAGUACAAGAUACUACUCCAAGAUAAAAUAGAGAAAAAAAUUGAAAAAAAUUUAUCAAACGAGCAAAGAAAGUAGGAAGAGCAAAAAAGUUUUUAAAAUUCACCGACCACCACGGCUAAAUGCUAAAUCAAUCAAAUCUGACUGGUCAAAGCGUUAUUGUGUUGUUCUAUUUUGUUCUAUUCUGUUUGCAUAAGCCGUAGGAUUGUGUAAGGUGUUGAAAGAAAAUCAAGAUUUGAUUUUUGCUAACUAACUUCACGUGGCUAUAAGUCACUUUUACAACUAUCUGUGCUGCCGUCGCUUCCUAUUUUGCGAUCAAAUGGAUCAUUUACUAAUUCCAUGGCAAGCAUUCACAAGAUAAAAUAGUAAAAAAUUAUCAAACGAACAAGAAAAAUAGAAAGAGCAAAAAAAUUUUUGAAAUUCACCGAUCACCGCAGCUAAAUGUUGAAUCAAUCGAGUCUUACUGCUUAAAGACAGAUAGUAUUAGAAACUAAUAACUUGUUCUACAUUUUCAUGCGUUGAAAGGCGGUGGUAGGGAUUUACAAAAGGGACCGGCGCGGCAACACGGGUUUCUUGAACUCGAUUGAGGCUUCCUUCGUGCGAGCAACCGUCGUCAGUGUCACAGCCUGCGCCUUGAUCGCCCGUUACCUGACUGUUUUGACUCCACCCUAGACGUGGGGAACGAUAGACGGAGGAGGCAUUCUACCUCAGGUAUAAUAUAGUAGUAAUUCAUUAUUACUCCCCAGUUUUUCUUAUGCGUACUAUGUGUUUGAUAGCAGUAAGUAGUAUAUCGCCACUACUACUAACUACUACUUGCCAAGGAGGAUAGACUCGAAUGUGUAGUUUCUCUUCUGUUCUGUUCGGCGUAGACCCAAAAUUGGUCGAUUAACAUAAUAUGGUCGGACAUUGUUGUCAUAAUUUACAAUGAUAUGAUGAAAAGUGUAAGUGGGUGGGUAAGAUGAUCGGAGGCUUGUGAAAAACCACCGUCUUUCUGCUGCAGGUUCUCUCGCUUUCUUUCUGCAUUGUAUAGAUUCCCCCCAUGGCUAGAAUUGUGACGUUUUACUGGCCAUCCAAACAAAACACCUGCCUCAUCAAAAUGAUAUGUAAUUGUAAACUACCGAAUAUGCCUCCCAGAUAUUUUGCUUCGCUUUUUCACUGUAGAAUAUGCAUUUUUCCUCUCCCUCUCUCUCUGUGAUUUUUUCUCUAUUAUUUUGGGUUCUGAAGAAAUUACUAUGAUUUAUAUAUAUUGGUUUACUAUGAUAUAUAUAUAUUGGUUUGUCAGUGUAGCACAAUGUUUAUGCUAUCAAUGUAGAGAAGUGGUGAUUUUGUUGACAUUGGAACCAAAAGCUUACGUAUGUUCAAAAUGACAGGAAAACUUCUCUUCUAGAAAACAGCUUCUGACUUUUGCCUUCUUAUGGGGAUCAUACAUUGACAAUGGUUGUUAGAACUGGGAACAUCUAUCUUGGUUUAAUGCUUUUGUUUUGCUUUUUGAUUCUUCUAGGUUGUUUAACUUAAUGUUGGAAUAGAGUACGUUCACAACUGCAGUUUGUCUUUUGCCCAAACUGCUGCUCAUUGUACUUAUCUACUCGUGCAGUUCAUGCUCAUUUGCAGAGAAACUAUUUUGCUCUUCCUCUGAUAAUUUUUUCUUUUGAUUUUUUCUCUCUAUUUUAGCUUGUGAGUUCUCUAUUUUUUCUUGUGAGUCGUACCUUUUGCUGUCUUAUUUCUACUUGUUUCUCUAUUAGUGAAAUGAAAAGGCUUUGAUUUCAUUGCUUUGCUUAAUUGGUAUUGGUUUGACAGAAAUGGCUGGAUAGGUAUAUGAGCCCGAGGCUUAUAUGCCCCGUGGAACUGUGGAUUCUUACAACACCAACUUAGAACCUGUCAGAAACUUGCUUUUUUCUGAUGCCUAUGAAGAUCAUAUGAGAGGGCAAUGUUUGAUUUUCACGAAUGCUGUUCUCAGGGCACUAAAAUAUCGUGUUAGAUUAAGUUAGUACUAAAAACUAAUAACUUCCUGUUGUUGAAUUUUGUGGUUUAUGUUUUGUUUAUGUGUUUUUUUCCCUCUACUUUUUUUAGGGAUAGAGAAUGGCAUUCUAGAGGCAUAUGAAGUCGAAUCUCACCCCCGUCCCAACUGAGGGUGAGUUAUUUCAUAAUAGCAUCUGUACAUAUGUUAAUGAUUGUGAAUAUAAAUUUAUUCACAUUUUUGCAACAGAUCAUGAAUUCCGCAUUAAGCAUUAGGUACUUUCAGGAGCAGGAGAAGAAGGGGAAGGGGAAGGGGCAGGGUUAGCAGAACUGGAGGAGGAGGCUCUGAGCAUGGAGGCGACAUUGAUUUUGUGGAUAUUCUUUGUAAUAGGGAACCUCUUGUUCAUGAUGCUGGGGCAACAGAAACUCAUGAUUCACCAAAUAGGUAUUGUUUUAAAUAUAUAACAGAUUAUUACUACUUCAAUGACAAUAGCUAGCAUGGAUUUUACGAAGCUUUUUUUAUUAUUACAUUUUGUAAUUUACAUGGGGCGGUUUGUCACAUUAUGUUGAAGGAAAGAUUAUCCCUUGAAUCCUGAAUGCAUUGUAGGCUGUCAUAUAUUUGUUGAGAAUCAAAUUUUCUGAACUGAUAUUGGCAAGGAAUGUUUCGUGAGAUCUGUCACAAUGCAGUAUGCAUAACGAAAUUUUGGGUCUUUGAUGUUGGUUGGAAAUGUUACAAUUUGGCUGUUUUCUAGUUGAGCAAGUUAUGAAUUCUCACAAACCUAGGGUGGUCAGUACUAUUUUGGGCCUUUAACAUUUGUUGAUUUGUUGGAGGUGUGUUAAUCAUGCCUGUGUGAUUUUGGGAGGGCACUAGGUUUUCCGUGUUGCUGAACGUCCCUCAAAUUUUGAUGGUUGCUUUUGCUGCUGUUACACUGAUGGAAUCAAUAAUAUAUAUGUCUUCCUGUUGAAAUUUUGAUGAAAGAUUAACUUGGUGAUGGUAAAAUGUUUUCAGAUUAUUUAUGCACAAUAUACAUCUUGUAAUUUAUACACGUUCAUUGGCAUGCUUCUUAAGCACUUAUGAUGAAAAACAUAGACAUGUAUGUUUGUGUAUGUAUCUUUAAUACUUAUCCAUCUCAGCUGGAGAGAGAACCAAAUAUCCAUGUCUUGUCAGAAACUGUCUAUUGCAGUGUCAUACAAUGUUGUAUAAUGCCAAUUGGUAUUGGUCUAUUUGCCUUUGAACCUUAAGUUAAUAGAAGUUAACAUGCUCCUCAUUUUCAUCUAAUUGCUGGUUCACCCAAAGCUUUAGUGAUCAUGCUCUCCCAGCUUGAGCAAAACAGGACCUCAUUUGCUAACCCUUUCAAUUUACAUGGGGCGGUCAGACAUGGAGAGGGCUGCAAUAUUUCUACAAGUCCUGCAAGAAGUCGAAUAAGCAAUGUUUUCAAACCCGGACCGGACCGGCCGGUUUGACCGGUUCAACCGCGAACCGGUCAUGUGUCCGGUCCGGUUCAUUGCUUAUGUUGACCAGGAUCAAAAACUAGUCAAAACCGUGAAAAAUCAUUAAAACCGUUAAAACCGGUUCGAACCUUGAACCGCGGUUUUUCAUUUUUGAUCAAAAUUGAAAAUUCAGUCAAAUUUUGACCGAAAUUAUCUAAACCUAAUCGGCUAAUCUUCACCUCUUUACUUCACUCUUCGCUUCGCCGCUUCGGUCCGCCGCUUCGGUCUUCCUUCUGCUUCCUCUACAAUUGCCGAAAUUGCUUGCCGUCUCUAGCUCCUCACCCUUAAUCUGCUCCGUCUCUAGCUGAUCCAUAGCAAUCAGCAAAAAGGAAGCAUGAAGUUUCUGUUUUUCUACUCACCGCACCGCUUCUAAGUUCUAAGCCAAAUAAACUCUGGAGUCUGGAAUCAAUCACGGACAGUGAUCUAUGGAGCAACUCAAUUCCUUUUGUUUCGAUUCUCAGCUGCUACCCAUCAAUUCAUCAACAGCUUUAGGGACAAAAUUUAUGAUCGAGUAUUGUACAACAUUACCAGCACUGAAAGUGAACCUGUCGAGGUGAAACAUUUUCCCAUUCUAUUGCACUCCUGAAAGGCCUCAAUCUUAUACCAGGUUCGUUUAUCCUUUUUCCCUUUUUUUCCUUUCGUUGUUGAUUAUUGGGUUUUGGUUGCCCUUCCGUCCCCUCGGCCCUUUGUAUAUAUACUGCUGUAAUUUUUGGGCAUAUGAUCCUUAUUAACUUGUCAUUGCAGCAGCAGCCUAAAUGAUUAUAUUAUAAGCUGAUCAGCCUAAAUCAAUUUUUUUUUUAUUUGUCCUCAAAUUAGAUAAGCUGUCAGUCUGUUUGUCCUGCAAUUUUCAUUUUUUUUUACUCAUUAGAUAAUUUGGUUGCCCUGUUGUUGAGUUGCGCCGUUGGUGAAACCGGAACUUAAGAGAGGUAGACUCCCACUCAGUUUUUGGCCGACAACCAAAAAUGUCAGUUAAUUGGUGGUCAAAUUUUUGGCCACUCAGUCUAUUCUAUUGAUGUCCGUUUCCUACCUUGGCCUUAUGGUGAUCGAAAAUGUAGGAAACAUACAAAUUUAAGAUAGGCUCUGAAACAUGACUCACUGCUGUCUUUGAGGUAAUGAUUGGUGAUGCAUAAUAGUCUAGUAAGGAUUUGUACCAAUUUAGAUAGAAAGUUUCAUGGUCAUAAGUGGAAAAAGUUACAUAUGAUGUCCUAGUAAAAUCUUAAUGUGAUAAAUAAGUUUCAAUUUGUUUUUGAAGCAAAAUAAAUUAUUCUAAUCCUUUUGGACCUUCACUGCAAAAGCUACUUUGAUCAAUCAUGCGUAAGCUUAACUUGGCUGACUGGCACAAAAACAGGGAUCAAUCUCAAGCUUUUUAUUUUUUAUUCUUGAAGAACGGAAAAAGGAAGAAAUGCAUCUGCCGGUUUCUACUGCUUUUCUAAUUCACUGUUUCACUACAAAGGAAUACUCUCAAGGCCCAGUACUUCACUGCUAAAUUCCACCAACGGCUUGUUAGGCUGCUGGCCUGGCCACCAUAAAGAUCUUAAGUGCUUUUUGGGAUGGAAGAUUAAGAAUUCGAAUAGUUACAAAGAAGAUUAUAGAAGCCUCAGAAAUUGGACUUGUUUGGACCUUUGAUUGUUUUCUAGACUUGUAUUGUUUUUUGUUAAUUCUAAUAUUUAGACAAUUGGACAUGUAAGUUGGAUAACUAUGUUAAUUGUGUGUGUGAAUUGUUGGAUAUUGCUCUUAUGUUAAUUGUAGUUUAGCAUUUAUAUCUUAUUUUGUGCAUAGGUGUGUGUGUGUGUUUCCUGAUCUAGGAAAUUUGCAUUUAGAUUCAACUCUAAUUCUGCUGUUCAUGGAGAGGCAUGUAGAUAGUACACUAACAGGAGAUCCAAAUUAGGAUAUAUAUAUAUAUAUAUAUAUGUAUAUGUAUAUGUAUAUAUAAUAUAUUAUUUAUUUAUUUAUUGAACCGAGGUUGAACCGGUCCGACCGGUUGAACCUCGACCCUUUCAUUUCACCGGUUCACUUAACGGUCCGGGUUUUAAAACAUUAUUUUUUGUAGGGUUUAACCCGAAUGGCAUGCAUUUUUUACCCGAAUCCAGUUUUGAUUGGCAGGCAACCCAAAAUCCAACUUUCUUAUCUCGAGAGAUUCGACCCGCCUAAACCGAAGUUCUAAUUUCGGGUGGGUUGAAGGCUACAUCAGCAUUCAGCAAGAAACAUUUCUCAGAAUAUUCUCCCCUUUUGCUCUCAUAAAUCGGGUGGGGUUUGUCGUCAUAACUGAAGAAUCUGUAGGUCUUAGGCAGCAAGGAAGUGCGCCAAAGGUAAGAAUCGCAUAUGACUUCUUCCCUCAUCUCAUUUGUUUUUGUUGAUAAUUUGUUAUGCUGUUUUUUUUCCCCCUUUUUUUUGGGUGAUUUGGUUUUGGAUAUCCAGCUAUAAGUUUCUGGAUCCACAAGCCUGCAUAAAUUUGCUUAGCUAAAAUUUGAUCCUGGCUCAGCUACUUGUGAUUUGGGCGGGGGGAUAGGGGUGGGGUAGAGGGGCGGGGGAGAGAGGAGGGAUAAAGCUGGUAAUGGUUGUCCAUUUGCUCGAAGCUUCGGCUACACUUCACAGUCACAAUGGUAAUAGUUGUUUUCUUCAAUUAUUCUGCAUAUAAUUUUGGAACUGCAAAUUGCACUCAAAUUUGUUCAAUUGUUGGUAUAGAAAUGCUGAUUCUGAUAUGUGAAAAUUUUAAAUGGAUUUGGGAUGCCGGUAUGGUGAUUUUUUUAGGACAUUAUCAAGAAAAAAAAAGUUCAAAAAGAUCGAAUCUUUACAAGUCCUGCAUCUAAAAAGACUUGACUGAUAUCUUUACAAGUCCUACUCGUAAGAAAGUGGAUUAAAGAGUCAUAUUUGCCUAAAAGAAAAAUUAUGUGCCUACUUUGAAAUGUUUGCAUGUUGGAUUUUACGUGGUUUAUAGUGGUUCUUGGGAUAUGAUGGCAGGGUUUUUUUCAAUCAGUCUACUUUGAAAUGUUUGCAUGUUGGCUGGGUUUGGAGCUUUCAUGAUAAGUCUCUGGCAACUGCAGCAGGUUUAGAUGUUUGUGUUUGUGACCACUAGUGCAGGGGUAGAACUUGCUGUUAUGAACCAUGCUCAUGUUGGGUACUCUUAAUUCUUUGGCACGCUGGAAACCUUUUAUUUACAGGAAGAGAAGCUGCAACGAGUCGUCUGCAAGUUUUUUUGUGCAAUUUUUUUGUGAACUGGGAAUUCCAGUACUCUUUAGUCUCUCAAUCUCGGUACACUUUGAAGUUUGAAACAAGAAAAAGGAGAGUCAUAUGAAUAUAUAAUUGUCCUCAUUCUAUAAUAUUUCAAUUAUUAUCUACUGAUGAAGACUUGAGAAAUCGUAUCAAAGCUCGCACAGUGAUUUAGAAUUUGAUGUUUAGUGAUUUAUAUCUUUAGAAUUUCACAAGUUGCAGCAAUAUAUUUAUUGUUUUAGUUAAUGUCUUACAAUUUGUUCACUACAUUUUUUUUCCAUUUAUUGACAAUCAAAAGGAACCAAUAUAUACAAGAAACACCUGUAUGUAAACAACUGAAUUACAAAGAAAAAAAAAUGAAAGGAAUGUAUUCCAGAAAAAAAAACCAUUAUUAUGUAAUAAAAUAUUCAAUUUCUAAAUUGAGUUGUUUUCUCAUAUUAAUCUAGCAAGAAAUAUAGCGUUUUGCACUGGGACUCCAAGUGACCUACUACACGUACUUAAUAAUACGAAAGUCACCAUUUGAUUAUACAUAUCUGGCCACUAAUCUAUUUGAUUUAAAAGCUAUCUUAAUUUCUUAACCAGUGAUCGAUUAUCGAAAGGCAUAUUAAUGAGUAGAGCUAGAUUGAUUAAAAAUUGAUUAAAUUCAAAAUCAUGAAAAAUCAGAUUCUACCUAAAUUCAUGAUUCUCUUAUAGGGUCUGCUUCUACAAUUAAAAAAAAAAAGUAAACUCAAACCCAUAUAAAGUAUGCUGAAUCUGGAUUGAACCCAAGCAUUAGUUUGCCUAAUUAACAUCAUCACGGAAACAUAUAGAUACGAGUAAUUAUAUAGUGCGAUUGGGAUAUCAUUUCAUUAAUUAAAUAAUUAUUAGUUUUACACACACACACACACGUGUGUAUCUAUGUGUUUAUAUAUAUAUAUAUAUAUAUAUAAAGUAAAUGACUUGAUAAUAUUGACAUAACUAGUAUUCUAUCCCAGCAACACUAUAAAAUUUCCCUGUCCUUGUCACAUUAAAUUGAAUUAGUAAAAGAAAAGUUAAAAUUAUAUCUUGAGAAAAAACCACAUAUACAAUCUAUCGGGGGCAUGUCAAUGAGUCAAGUCUUAUCCAGAUCCAACCCAAACCCAAUAUAGGUAGGAUUUGGAUUUAAUUUCUCAAAUCCAGAUCCUAUCAAAAUUCAAACCCUGUAAAAGAGUCAUGAUUCUUAGUAAAAUCUAAUUUUCUAUUAUUCAUAUCCAAAUUUAGAAAUAUACCAGAUCCAUGUAUACACACACACACACACACAUAUAGAUACAAACACACAUAUACACAUAUGUAUGUAUGUAUGCAUGUAUGCAUACAUACACACAUAUAUACACACAUAUAUAUAUGCAUACGUAUAUAUAUACAUAGAUAUGUGUAAACUUUUCAAAAAAGUAGAAAAAGUGAAAGCAAAUAGAUAAAAGAUUGGAUGUGAAUACAGUUGAAACUUUGAAAAUAAAUAAAACUAGUCAGCAAUAUUUCUUUUUUUGAGUUCAUAAUAUUGCAUUCAACUUCUUGAGUAUUAAUUUUAUUAUUUUGAAAAUAAAAAUUAGAUGACAUUUGUAUUAUUUUUGAACUGUAUAUAUUUUUAACAUAUUUUUCAGUUUAGUAUAUUCAGAAAAGUAUAAUGAAAACACAUUGGAUACCCAAAUCCAUGAGACUUUGGGUCUGGACUUAUUUUUUUAGACUCAUAAGGGUUUGAGUCUGGAUUUGGAUCUAAUGAAAUUUAAUGGAUUUAAAUCUGGAUCAAAGGAAUCCAAUCCAAACCCUAUCUAUUUACAUGUCUAUCUAUUAGUGGAUAACUAAAUUAGAUUAAUUAUUCUUUCCAAUAUUUAUGAGUAUCUGAUUUUACCUUACCUGUUCUAAGCCUCCUACUAAUUGUUGGUGCUUCAGGAAAUUCUAUCAAAUUUUACCUUACCUGUUCUUAAUAGGGGUGACAAUCAGGUCGGGUCACGAGUUAGCGGGUCGGGUUGAGACAUAGGUAUUCCAGACAACUCACCAACCCGAAUACGACUAGUUUAUUUUAUUGGGUCAGGUUUCUUGACCUGAACACGAAUCACAAUGUUCGCAGGUCAUCCGAACCUGACCUGUUUCAACUUGACAAUUUAAUGAUAAGUUGAUCACUUAAAACAGAAGCACAUAACUACUACUCUUCAGACUAAUAACCUCUAAUAAUCAGCAAUGUAAGUUGCCCAUCGAAAUUCAAAAAUCCAUUCAUGCAAAUGAGAAUCAUAUGCAAAAGGCAUUCACCAAACAUAAUACAAAUCCAAAUGACUAAGGCAUAAAAUGACAUAACAUAAGUUGAGAAGCAUAAUCACAAGUCCAAACUCCCAAUAUCAUCAUCAAAUUCAAAUGGCCACAAGCAAUGAAAACUAAAAAGACAUAAGAUAAUAACAAGUCCCAUAUCAUCAAUUCAUCAUCAAAUCCCAAUGGCUGCAAGCCAUAAACACUAAAUAGCAAUAAAAUAGACAUAAAACUGAAACAUAAUCACUGGUCCAGGUUCCAAGCUCAAAUAGUGAAUUGAUACUUCUCUUCCAACUUCCAAACUUCACUAAAUCAAGGAAUGCAAGUACUUUUUAAGUACCCUGCAAUGUAGACAUCAAAGUAUUAAUGCCUAAUGGUGAUACAUAUAAGUACAAUAAAAUAUAUUAUGCUAUAACAUUUAGCUCACCAAAGUCAAUGACUUAGAGGUUGACCACAUUAGAGUUUGAAUCUUCAACAAAUUGGACAUCAUCUUUUGAUAUGUUCAAAGACAUGAUGUCUUAAGUUAUAUCCUCCAGCCUCAAAUCUGUCAUCUCUGCAUUAACAAGAUAAGAAAAAUAAAAUGAGUAUAACAUACUAAAGAAACAAAGUAGAUAUUAGAAGAUCUCAAUUUACUAAUUUUACCUUUCUCCCCAAACAACCGAUCUUUAGUACAUACUAAAGCUUCAACUAUUAGUGGUGACAAAAUGAACUAUGGAAUUGGUCUAGAAUCCUAUCAUCAAGGCUAAAAGCAGAUUCUGAUGCAAACAGUUUAUACAGGAACACAUAAGAUAUUUCUAGCUAAUUUUCUAGAUCUAAACAUCGAUAUCGUUGAGCCUUCCAAUAGUCAAGAACAUGAAUCUCAUAUUUUCUUUUACUUCUUGGCUCAUCUAAAUACAUUUCCAAUUGAGUUUUUUGUGCACCACAUAUAAAUUCAAAACUAUCAAAUUCCUAUUGAACAUGACAUUGAAAGAGAGAUAUAUUAGACAUGAAAAUGAGAAUAGAACAUUUUUAAAAUCACAUGGAAGUAUAUAAAUUAAUAAGUCAAUACUACUAAAAAAUAUUAUCAUCACACCUUGAAAACAUGUGCUGAUUGUUUUCCUUGUACUUCUGCUGCAUCAAAAGAGGUCUCAUUCAUCUCAUUGCUACCUUGAGAACAAGAGAUAAUGGCUGAGACAUCUUACUAACUCUAACAUAUUCAUUGAAGAGAUUAAAAAAUGUAUCCCUGACCUUUGUUAGUUCUGCAGACCCUGAACCAUAUAAUUUUUGAUAACUAAACUCAAGAAACUGAAAUUUGUAUCUAGGAUCAAAUACCACAGCAAUGGCUAACAAAAUAUUGAACUCAGACCAAUAUUUGCUGAAAUUCACAAACAUCUGUUCAGCAAGUUUCUUCAUAAAGCCAUCAGAACUGUGACACUCCUCAAACAACUUUAAUUGAAUCAGAAAAACUUGAGGAAAGUACAAGUUAGUAGUUAGUUACUUAGAUCUUGAGAAGGCCAUGGUUGCAUCAUAAAAAAUUUUUAAAAACUACAAAAAUUUUCAACUCUUUCCCACUCUUCUGAAGCUGGACAGCAUUGAAAAUUGGAAUCACUCAAUUGUAAGUGACAAAAGGCAAGACAGUAAUAAAGAGCACUUGAAAGCAUCUUAUAAGUGGAAUUCCAUCUGGUUGGGACAUUCUGAACUAAGGCCUUUUUAGAAUCACGGGAUGUUUGUGCUAUGCAUUGAGUAAACUUUACUUUUUUCACUUGAGAGCCCUUCACAUAUUUCACACAUUCCCUUAUUCUAUCCAUUGAGACAUCAAUUUCUUUCAAACCAUCUUGCACAAUCAGAUUUAGAAUAUGAGCACAACACCUCACAUGAAAUAAAAUACCAUCAUGCACCAAAGCACCUUUCAACUUAAGUUGAUUCUUAAGUAUGUGAACACAAGAAUCAUUUGUAGAAGUAUUAUCCAAAGUGAUGGUGAAUAAUUUCUUUUCAAUGCCCCAAUUACUUGCCAAACUAUAAAUUUUUUUUGCUAGAGCAAUUCCACUAUGAGGAGGAGGCAUAUAAGAAAAAUUCAGAAAUUUUUUUACAGCACCCAAUUAUUAUCAAUGAAGUGUGUGGUCAAGCUCAAGUACCCAGCAGUAACUACGAAGCUCUAUGCAUCAGAAGUCAAAGCAAUUCGACUAGGACAUAAUUGUAGUUCAGCCUAAAGUCCAUCAACUUCUUUAGCAUGCAAUUUUUUUAUAUCUACCUUAGCGGAGUUUCUAGUAAUAUGUUUAACUUGUGGUUCCAAAUAUGAACAUACAUUUCUAAUUCCCUCAUAUUCGACAAAUGAAAAUGGCAAUUCAUGUUUGAUGAUUGCAUGCAUCAUUAAAUCUCUAGAUUUCUCUUGACUAAACUGAGAAUUUCUUGUGGACAAAGCUCCUCAAUCAGCAGUAAGAAGAUAUUGACCAAUGUUUUUAGUUGUCAUUUUUUGACAUUUUUUUAUAUGUCGAAGGAGAUUACCUGUCCCCUUUUUACUCUCUGCAGAGUAGAUACGCUUACAUUUUUUGCAUUUGCAUUUCAAUUCCUCAUUUGGUUUUGGAGUUAGGACGGUAAAGUAAGCCCAAACUUCAGAAGUUAUCUUCCUCUUUUUCUUCCCUUCAACAGCAGGGUUAGGACAUUGAGACUGGCUCAUUUCCAUUGUUUCUUCAAUGCUGUUGUCACUACCACUAUCAUCAUCCACCUCAACUGGAUUUGGAUUUGUAUCACUUUCAUCCAUCUGUUAACCAACAAAUAGAUAUACAUAUCAUUGCCAAUUCAAGUUAAAAUUACUCUUGUUAUAGUAGCAAAUCGGAAUCCAUCUUUACAAAUCUUAAUCACACAAGGCUGUGUACAGCCCAACAAAUUAAGAAGGCAAAUAUUGAAUCAUAGUUUGGAAAGUCAUUUUCCAUCAAAAAAUUCCUAUAUACAGUUUUAUUUGGCUAUCGAGGGCACGCGCAUGCCCAUUGGUUAGAUGCACAACUGCCGGUGCCCACUGCUGAUGUGAUAACUAUAAUACCGUUUGGAUUAGUUGUUUUUGGGAUUGUUUUUGAAAAAUUUUAUUGUAACAGAAUUUUUAUAGUAUAUUUUAGAAAAUAUUUUGAAAUAUUUAAGAGUAGAAGAGUUUUUAGAAUAUAUUUUGAGAUAUUUUUUAAAUAUUAAAAAAAAUUAGACUGCUUUUUAGAGUUUUUUUAAAAUUUUUAAUAGUAUUUGAAAAACUCUUGAAUCCAAAUAGGGCUAAUAGGUGGUUUGUGAAUACCCAUAUGAUCAAUUUAUGUUUUGGGAGACAAUAUUCUGAUCGUGUCCAGAGUUGAAUCUAUUCAAACUCUUUAUCUACCAAUUCUAUUGCAGCAGAAGUUGAGUAGGUAAAAAUCAAUAUUUCAUCGAUGUUUUGAGUAACUUACUUUCCAAUAUUAAAUAAAAGUCGCACGGAUCUAAAACAAAUUCAUGUUUAAGUUGUAUAAGACGUAUGUAAUUUCUUUUUUUUUUCCUGGCAUAAAUUUCUUGGUCUUUGGUGACUGCAUUGAGCUCCUAACUAAUCUAAAAUCAAGCCUUGUUGGACCAUUUUUGAGAUCACUCUCCAAACAUAAUUUUCUCUAUCGUUAGUAUGCAAUUUCUAUAUUACUCCAGCUUACUUAAUUCUAUUGUCAUUGUAUGUUGAGACGGGUUAGCGUCCUAAAGUCAAAAACAUUGAACGAAAUAUGUAGAAAGCUUCCAUAAGGUUGUAUAUGCACGAAAUUUUGUCCAACUUCCAAAAGCAGAAACUGGAAGCUCUUGAAACCCGUUUUCAGUCAAAGGUCAGUAUAAAUAGAACGCCAUGUUUUGUUCACCCUAGAAAUUCUAAAUAUCGAACGAGUUGCAGUUGCUUCACAAUCCAUUUAAAGACGAUCAUUCUCUUACUCCUUUUCUCCUAAUGAAUCAGAAUGCUCCCGAUUUGUAACUUACAAGAUCAGUCAAUUUGUGUGAUAGAUCUAGUUAAUGCGUCCAGGGAUUAUGGAUCCAAGUUUGAUUGAGGGCUUGCUCAAUCUCUUUUAUUUUUAUCUACUUGCCCAUGCAUGCAUGCAUGCAUGGUUGCGUAUGAUUACGUUCGAGAUGCUAAAACCGUGUAGACAUACACUUAGAGCGUAUAUUUCUUAUGAAACUAACGCAUGCUUGUCAUGAAAGUAGCAAUGUAGUUAUAGUAUAUUGCGAGGAUUCGAAGGUUUCUAAAGAUUUCUUUUUUGGGGGUAACAUGAGGAAUACUUGCUUGCUCGUUGCAUCUCUGGACUUCUUUAACCUUUCAAAUCAAUAGGACCUUGCAGUGAUUCUGAAAUUUUAUAGGCAAGGGUCAUAUAGAUUGAUCAGAAAAUAUCCACAACUUACAAUAACUUGUUGCAAAUUAAUAUUGGCUCAUCAUACAAGUAAGUACGACACAAAAUUGCUUUGAGCGGUAAGAAUUGAUUUGAUUUAGCCGUGGUGGUUGGUGGAUUCCUAAAACUUUUCCUUUCCUACUUUCCUUAUUUGUUAAUGAAUUUUGGGAAAAUCGCCAAUUUGGUCCUCAAACUAUUUCACUAAAGCCGAUUUGGUCCCUUAAUGUUUCAUCGCAUGAAUUAAAUCCUUUAACUAAAAUUCUUGUGCCAAUUGAGAACCUAUACGGUGGCACCACCCAAAACAUAUGUUUUUAUACCCAGACCAACAGUGAGGCAGGGGCAUUUUUGGAAACACAAAAUACAAUAUUUUACGGGAAGCAAGACAUCAUCAUUUUGGGACCAAAUUAGGAGCAAAAGAGCAGCAGAAAAUGGAGGAAGAAAUAGGGACCAUUUCUCUGGUAAACUAAUUUGUCAAAAGCCAAUCAUUCAUCUUGAAUUUCAACAAUGAUCUUUUUAAAUAUUCACACUCCUUAAAAUGUAAAGCAUCGUAUUCACAGAUUAAGAGGAGGGGGGAAAAGAUUCCUCUGCAAAAGUCAAGAAUGCUUAUCCUUUAAAGUUCACUUCUGCAACUCUAGUUCAAUUAGUUUUGGACUGAACAUUAUCCGCCGAAUAGUCAUGUUAAAGAAAAUUUUCCUAACACUGCAAGAAUGGAAUGUGCCUAAAUCUCUGCAUAGGCUAUACCAACUACUAUUAUUAGGCAGCAAAAUCGCAAAAAACCCGCAUAGUCUCAGACAAAGCUAACAUUCAUCCAAAUCCAUGCCUAAGCAGCAUCAAAGCUGCUGAUGCAAGAACCAGUGGAGGUGUCACUACAACUGACCCUUCUUGAUGUUUGCUUGCCUGAGGCAGGUAUGAGUAAGCAACUGCUGAAAUCCCAAUGGCAAUUAAAAUUCCAAUGCAACUCGGUAGCGCACUGAACAAAGUCAAGGCUAUUUCGUCUUUAUAGUCAAGCUCCGGCGAAGGGGAAGACAGAGGAAUUUGAUCGAAAGUGAAAGGCGUUUCGUCAAGAAAUUAAAUGCGCAAAGGACAGAUGCUCAGUCGAAGGAGAUGAGAUGAAAUCGACUCAAUAGUUAACGGAAAGGAAGGUAAUGAAUGGGCUAGGAAGCCACCUCUUCUGUGGACGCACUGGAGUAUGACCCGGGACAGGAAGAGAAAGACUUUUUCUCCGGCGAUCUUUCUCUCAUAAAGCCAAAGACGCCCCAAGACAAGGUACAACUGUUGGGAAGGGGACAUGAUCAAUAGAACCUGGCUGGAUCCGGGCAAGGAAGGAGAAGACAGCACAAAGUAAUCCAACCUGGCAGUGAAGGAGAAGAAGUGGGGUAGAACAGAUGGGUCAGAGAAAUUCCUAGAAUUAGCAAGCACGGCUUAGGUGGAAGCAGAGAAUCCGGCGCUCUGGGAACUCACUUCGGAAGUCUAACUCAAAAGCCGACGAAUCCGGUGCUAGUCUUUACUGCCCUCCUCCCUCCCUAGCUACUUGAAUACCAGUCAAUCUCACAUCAGACAAUGAAAUGGGUUCUAUGAUCAGAUCAGCCAAGCCAAGAAGAAUCGUUGACGAAGAAUCAGAAUCCAUUCUCUGGGAUCUUUCUUCUCUGCCAUUGCUGCCUUGCGAGCUCUAUAAUAUUAGGCAAAUCAACAGAGAAAUCAUGAAGAAUACAAGAAAUGCUUAAAAACUUCAAAACAAACACUUUUGCUAACCAGAGAAAUGGUCCCUAAUUUCUUCCUCCAUUCUCUCGCUGCUCUUUUGCUCCUAAUUUGGUCCCAAAAUGAUCGAUGUAAUAUUGUAUUUUGUAUUUCCAAAAAUGCCCCUGUCUCACUGUUGGUCUGGGUAUAAAACAUAUGUUUUGGGUGGCGCCACCGUAUAGGUCCUACAUUAGCACAAGAAUUUUAGUUAAAGGACUUAAUUCAUGCAAUGAAACAUUAAGGGACCAAAUCGACUUUAGUGAAAUAGUUUGAGGACUAAAUUGGUGAUUUUCCCAUGAAUUUUCUUAGCAUCUUUUUCUCUAUUGUAUCUUGUGAGUGGUGUCUUGUACGUCUUAUUUCUCCUUGUUUCUCUAUAAGCGAAAUGAAAUGGUUUAGUUGAUUUCAUCGCUUAAUCAGUAUUGGCUUGUGCAGAAAUGGCUAGGCCAUAGCCGGAGGCGUAUAUGCCUGGUGGAAUUGUGGAUUCUUACAACUCCAGUUUACAGCCAGUCAGAAGCUUGCUUUUUUCUUAUGGCUAUGAAGAACAUAUGAGAGAACCGUGUUUGUUUUUCACCAACACUGUUCUGGGGGCACUAAAAUAUCGUGUUAGAUUAAAUUACUGCACUAGAAAUUAACAACCUUCUGUUGUCAAAUUUUGUUGUUUAUGUUCUGUUUAUGCGUUUUCUUUCCUCGACUUUUUUAGGGAUUGACAAUGGAGUUCUAGAAGCAUAUGAAAUUGAAUCUCACCACCAUCCCAAUCGAGGGUGAGUUAUUCCAUAGUAUCAUCUGUACAUAUGAUUAUGAUUGUGAACCUAAAUUUGUUCAAAUUUUUGCAACAGAUCACGUAUACCCCAUGAAGCAAUAUGUUGUUCGAGGAGUGGGAGAAAGAAGGGAAGGGGAAGGGGAAGGGUAGGGUUAGGAGAACAAGAGGAGACUCUGAUACUGAACAUGGGCGUGAGCUGAGACGGGUGAAACAUGGGGCAAUGAAGAUGGGAGAAACAGCAGAUGGGAGUUGGGAGGCGACAGUGUGAUGAUAGUUUUGAUGGUGAACACAUGGAACAACAUGAAAGCAGGCACAACACCUCAGGAAGUUUUUCAACAAUUAUUUGUCAGGCUUGUGGUUGGUCUUCACUAGAAAUGAUCCUUGGCCAUGUGGUUCAUUACUCCAGUUAUCUCCAUUAUCAGAACAAUUGAAAAAAUUGUGGUCUGAUUCUUUUACUACUGGGUAUAGAUUGAAAAAAAAAUCUUACUAGAAAGGAAAAAGACUGUUUCAAGACAAAAACGAAAACUAGAAAAAUUCCAUCUCUGUUACAAAUCUUUAGAAAGGCGCGCAGCACCCUCCUCCUCGGCCCCUAACUCAAGGAAAAAACAAAAGAAAUUUGUCUAACAAUGAUUCAGUAUCAAAAAUGUCUCCUCAUGUAAGUAUUAAUUCCUCAUCAUGAACUUCUGUCAAAAACUAAUAAUUCCUUAAGGUUCUGAAAGGCAAGUAGUGACAGAAUUCGAGAAUCCCUUUAAAACAAAAAAGAGUAAACAAGUAAAUGGAAUACUUUCACAAGUAUACAAAUCUCGAUCUUCACAGGAAAUAUACCAAAACUUGUUUCUAGCUCAACCCUCUCCUGAUUGUCUUCUAAUUAAAUGCAUUUCAAUUAAAAUUAGUAAGCAGAGUUUUCAAAAAACUAAUUAUCCAUUCCACAGGUUCAUAAACUGGAGGCAUAAACAAAAUACUAGCACAUUUCAAUACAAUGAAAUUGUUGGAUGUCCCAAAAUCGAUUAAACAAAGAAAAAAAAAUUCAGAACGUGUCGUCAUUCAAAUUGUUGGAAAGGGGUAAAUACUCUACAAGAAAAGUAAGAACGUACGAUUCUGACCCUUAAGCAGUGGUGCCACUUUUGCCGUCCAUUCCUUUUAUCACUACAAGAAAAUGUUAAUCACAGUAGUAAAAGGUUCAAAUACAACUUGAAAAAUCCAAAACGUUGUAAAACUGGAACAAGGGGAAAAAAGGGACUGAAGAAGAAGAAAAUUUUACCUUAAUCAAACUAAUUCAGCUGGAAAUAGAACUCUAGCUCUUCGAUGCGUGAUUGAGGGGAAUUUGGAGGAAAGAGUGAAGAAGAAGCUAGUCUAAUUGGAGUAAAUUAGGAAUAACAAUUACGUGGGAAAAGGAGAAUGGCGAAAUUUGAUUUGAGUGAGUAACCGAUUGGGAUUUUUUUUUCCAAUAGUAAAAUCUUAAUUAUGUGCAAAAAAGGAAAGAAUAUAAUAAUUAUGUGUAAAAAAAGGAAAGAAUAUAGUUAGGUGAUAAAAUCUAGGUAUUGGAAUAGAUUCGUUUGAAUUUGAACCAUCGUAAUACUGCUCUACGGAUCUGUUUGUUUUUAUCUGUUCUCGGGAUAUAAUUUUCUCGAGGGUUAAGUGCUACCAAUGUGUAGGAGGCUAACAAAUAACUAUGGAUUGGGUAAAAUCUCAUAGAUACUUGGCCUGGUACUUAAUCCAAUUGUGUGAUAUGGAUUAGAGCUAUACAUAUGAUGGUUUUUCUCAGGAUAUAGUUUUUAUUUUUCUUUUACUAAUUCAACUUAAUAUGACAAAGGUAAGUAAAAUUUAUUCUUGAAGGUGGAUGCACUACAAAUCAUUCAAAGUUUGUGCUCUACUGAGGAUGUACUUUUUGCCACCAGGCCUUGGAUCGAUAAUACUAGAAUAGGUUUAUCAUGUCACAACUCUAUUAAUGUAAAUUGGGUUCUUAGAGACGCAAACACAAUAGCUCAUGAAUUGGUUCUUUAUGCCAAAUCAUCUGAUUAUGCUGAAUUCUUUUGGAAUUCUUCCCAUUUUUUUCAAUCAUUUACCGUUGUUGGAUGAUUUUCAACAAUUCUAGUAAUAAAAUUUCUUUUUCUUAUCAAAAAGAGGUAGGGAAAUUUUACAGCGAUGUUAGGAAAUUGGCCAGAUAAGCUUCAUUAGCUGGCCAAAAGUUGGAAGUACAUUCUCAUUCACGGUUGACUUCCGAAUGUGUGAGAAAUAUGCUGUCAGUAACCUGAAAAUAUCCAUCUCUGAUGAUCUGCCUUCAGCAUUUAAAGGUUUUAAGUCUAUUGUGAUUGAUGCUAAACCGGUUAGAGCUGCUGUGACAAGGUACCGUCUCCAGAGACAAGGCAUCCAGGUUGACAUUGUCAAUUGCAUCAGGAUAGCGGCUGAUCUUUUCCGCAAGAAUGCUUCCAUCAUUCCUCUGUAAGUUUCUUGCCUCUGGUAGAAUUACAUGCAUGCUUUUGCACUUCACUUUCUACUAUUUUCAAUCCAGCUUCACCGAAUUAGUUCUGUCUUUUACUUUGUUUAUGCACUUAUUUUAAUUUGAUUUGUCAGAUUUUUAGAUUGACGGGACAAUCUUAAAUAAAGUCAAGCUUGAAUUUGAUAAUAACUUGUAUCUCAAUGGACUCCUUCUUUCUUUCUGGUGAAUAGUCUACAUUCGUUAGUGUUUGUUGCAAAAUUAAUUAUUUUUUCCUUUUGCAAGAACUUGAAAUAGUUCUAUUUCAGGUUUUGAUUAUUGUUUCUUGGAUAUAUUGGAAUGAUUAAUCUGAAGCUUCAUCUGCUACUUAGUGUAGUUCUUUAAGAACCUUUUUUGUGCUCAAGUCAUUCUAUGUUAAAGUUGAGAUGGUACUACCUAUUUGCAUUCAUGGUAUUGUAAUUUUGGUGAAGAUUGGUGUGUCUCAUCAGAUUCAUUAUAUGUUAUCUAAUGGAUGGUUUUAUUCAUUAAUACUCAAAUAAAUAGCAAUUAUUUUGCUUUAAACGGAUUUCUAUCUUUUUCUUCUUCUUAAUGCACUUUAUUGAGGUGGCUUGAGAAUGGAUUUCUUUCUAAUUUUGGCCUUCAAAAAAUGGAAAAGAAAUAAAAGCAGUAAGCAAAAAAGGGUUGUUUUUAUAACUUGCAAGUCUGCCAGUCACAAGGCCUUUGGGGUCUUAUUUCAAUUUGAUGGUUAACUAGCGCGUCCCAAUAAAACUAACAAAACACGAACACAAAAUUUUUUAUGACUAUCAUUUACAUGUCACAAAUAAAUUCUAUUUUUUUAGAACUUUUUGCUACAUUCAAAAUACAAGGAACAAAAGAUAUUCUUACAAGUCACAAUUGACAUUCAUAUACAAGUCGCAAAAACUUUUAUGGUUAUAAAAUCCGUGAUUGUUAUAUACAUGUCAUAACGUGGUCGCAAAAAGUUUUGUGACUAACUGGACCUUUUAUAACUACCAUUGAUGGAAUCACACAAAUAACUUUUUCUUGUAGUUGAGUGGUAUAAACUUCUGCUGGUAACCACUUUUGACAAAAAAAUCUUGGAAUGUCAAUUUUAUCCUCCAGCACAUAUCACAUCCCUCAAGAAUCAACAAAAUUGGAUUCCGGUCCUCACAAUUUGAAUUUUGUACAUUUUCACGCAAAUUUGCCCUUGGGUGAAAAUAAUUAUGAUUUCAGUAUAAAUCAGUUUAGGUAGAAAAAAUCCAAAAGUAGGACUGAGUGUAAAUAAAUUAGAAUUGGGUGUAAAUAAGGUAGAAUCGGUAUAAAUAAUAUACAAUUAGUUUGUAAUGAAUUUGGUGUAAAUAUUUUAGAACAUGGUGAAAAUUACUAAUUUACCCCUAAAUUGUUCAAAAUAAACUUGUAAAGCCCCAUCCCCUAACAAGAAUAAGGACAAGAAUGGUUGUCACUACGGCUGUUCGCAGAUGGUAUAGCAUCUUAUCAACAAAUUGUAAGAUGCAGUUAACUAUUUUUAGAAAUCAUUACUUGUGCCCACACUAUUCAUAAAACAAGUCAUACAUGAAUCAUGAUUAUUCUCAUAAUUUGACAAAAAAAAUGGUAAAAUAAACAAAUAAAGGUAUCAUAUAUUCAACUUUUUUUAAACAACACUUAAGUCUUUAACUUCCUAGUUGCAAAUAUAACAUUGUAUUUCACACAUAAUUAUACUUUUGCACCUAAAAAGUUUAGUGCAUUUAGAUAAUUUCUUCAUCUUCCUUCUUCUCUAAAUGGGAGACUUCUAUAUAAAUGAUUUUUUUUAUUGUAUUGACAAGAAAAUAAUUUGAGGAUUUGAGUAAAAGAAAAGUAUAAAAAGUUACAAAAUAUAUGAAGUUUGUCAUGAGGAAUUUGAAAUAACAGAUGCUUAUGAAUAUGAAUAUAUAUAAUUGUGUUAGUUGUGUUACAUAUGAUUAUUAAAUGAAUAUAUUGUUAUUACUUAUCAUGUGAAAACCAUUAUUAAGAGUUGUGUUUUACAAGGAUUAAAUAUAUUUGCAAUUAUUAGUUUGUGCCCUCGCUAGGAAGUAUUUCUAGCUCCAGUGCUAGCAACGAGACUCAAAUACACGAACUUGGUCGAGGAAGUGAUCCAACCUUAAUAAUUGAGUCAACCCUAGGUAUCAAUUUGUGGUUGGUCUAAUAAUCAAAACUGUUGUCUAAGACUAUAGGUGGCAAAUCAAUCCAUUUAACUAAAUUUACCCAUACCCGCAUGAAUAGAUGGGUAUGGGCAUCUUAAAUUUUUAUAUAUGGGUAUAAAUGGGUUACCCAAUAAUGGGUAUUAUAAUGGGUAUGGGCAUCUUAAAUUUUUAUAUAUGGGUAUAAAUGGGUUACCCAAUAAUGGGUAUUAUUGGGUAACCCAUCAAACCUAAUUAAUCCAUUUAGAAUUCUCUUCCCCACCCCCCUUUUUUUUCAAAAUUUUCAUUUUAUCAUGAUGUUAACUACUUUUAUUUCAUUAUUAUUAUUAUUUGUUGGUUUUAUCUUAUUAUUUUUUUUCUCUUAGUUUGUUAACUUGCUCAUUUUUUAGCAUUAUCAAUUUAUGAUAAGCUUUAGCCUCUUUUCUUAUCUUUCUAAAUGAAAUUUUAAAUUUAUAUAUGAAAAAAAUAUUAGGGAUUCAAAAUUUUUGGAUUAAAUUUUUAUAUUAACUUUUAUAGUACUUAGUUCAAAUUUUUUUAUUCUUAUUAUUCAAUUAUUAAAUAAUAUGUAAUUUUGCGACAUAGAGUAUAAAUGGAAAAAAAUAGUAAUUAGACUUAUUGAGCAUUAUAAGUAAAUAUUUAAAACUAAUGAUAGGUACAAAGAGCGUUGUAAAUUGAUAACUUAGUUUGCAAAAAUGAAUUUAAAUGAGUUUACAAAAAAUUAAAAUAAAUGGGUUAGAAAUGGAUAAUUGGGUUACCCAAUUCAUUGUUUGACUUAUCCAUUUAUACCCAUCUAAUUAGAUGGGUAUAAAUGGGUUGACUCACUUAUACCAUUACCAUUUUACCCAAUUCAAAUCCGCCCAAGUCACCCAUUUUGACACCUCUAUCUAAGACUAAAAGUUUUGGGGGUUAUAUAUAUACUACAACUUGUAUUACAGUUGUGAAGAUUAAUGAAGAUUUGGAAUUUUUUUUUUUGGUAAGUACUACAAGGGGCAUAUCGCCUAAAAAUAUAUCUUCUGCCCUCUUAAGCAUGGGUAAACUAGUUCAACCAAAAUCAUAAAGAAUUAUUAUUUUUGUUUUAUUAGAACUUAUCAAUUAUAUUAGUAACUACUCAAGUAAAUAUACCCAUCUAUUAUACAUUUUUAUGUUCAUUAAAGUCUUUAACAAAAUAAUCUUUGCAAUGUAAACCACUUUCUAUGAAAAUCAUUUUCACAAAUGAUUAUAAUUUUAGGUAGUUGUACACAAAUAGUGUGUCUCAAUCACUAGCUAGCUCUUAUAAUUCACAAAUAUUGAUUAUCUUAGUUAUCCUAAUUAAAUUACAAAUAUUUCGAUAGUGCGUUACCUUAUUAUACCAUAUUGAUGUGUUGCAUUAUCAACUCUGGAUUAAAUUAACGAAGCAAAGCUACAUACAAUUAAGAAUCCAAAUCCGAUUCUAACAAGAGUAAUUAAGGAUAGAAAGAAGAUAUGCUAGGAAGAAAGUUAGUUUUGUUACUUGAUAAGUGUAAAAUGACUCUCAGAACUAAUUUGGAAAUUUUCCUUACUAGAAAGUAAAAAAAAAGUCAGUUAUGAGCCGCGGCUACUUGACGCUGUCUUCUUCUUGCUGUUGCCUUGAUGUUAACGAAACAACGAAGAGUUUCCUUCUAGCAUUAGGAUCUCUGCAUCUUCCCUGGAUUUCUUGCUUAUUAUCCACUAAGCAGCCCCUGGUUCAAGGCUUAUUGUUCGUUUUCCUUUGAUCUUUUCAUCCUUCCAUCCUCAUUUCAGAUUUUCUUCUGUAGUUGAGUAGUAUAAAUUUCUGCUGCAUCACUAUUCCUUCCCUAACCAUUAUUUGUAAACAUGGUUUCUUGCCAUCUUCCCAGAUUGAUGGGGAACAUCUUAAGGAAGCCGCUAAAGGAUCUUGUGCCUCUCCCGAAACGACCGCUUGAUGUCGAUCACGUUGAUAUGGACUUUUCGGACGUGUUUGGACCUCUACCUACUCAAUCACCUGAGGCAAACGAAUCUUCUGAAGAUCCAGAUUUGAUUUCCGGCCCUAGGGACAAACUCGAGAAGGUUGUCUCUUGAGAGUACUACUGGUAUCUUGAAGAAAGAUACUGUUGAAGGUGCUGCAAUAGGGCUGGAGGACUUCGAGGUAUUAAAGCUUGUUGGCGAAGGUGUGUAUGGAAAAAUUUAUCAAGUCAGGAAGGUGGGUACAUCAGAUUUUUACGCGAUGAAGGUCAUCCGAAAAGCUAAGAUUGUAAAAAGCAAUCUUGCUGAUUAUGUGAAGAGUGAGAGGGAAUAUUGGCAAAAGUCGAUCAUCCCUUCAUAGUUCGUCUCAGAUAUGUUUCCAGACCAAGUAUAGACUAUACCUUGUUCUUGAUUUUGUCAAUGGUGGUAGCCUUUUCUCUCAAUUAAGCAGGCAAGGCUUGUUCCGUGAGGAUAUAGCUCGAACCUACGCAGCUGAGAUUGUCUCGCUGUGUCUUAUCUCCAUGCUAAUGGAAUAUUGCACAGGGAUCUUAAGCCAGAAAACGUACUCCUGGAUGCAGAGGGACAUGCAAUGCUAACUGAUUUUGGCUUGGCAAAGCAAUUUGAAGAUCAGAAGAACACCCGAUCUGACACUAUUUGUGGAACCACGAAAUACAUGGCACCGGAAGUUGUUCUUGGGAGAUAUUAUGACAAGCUGCUGACUGGUGGAGUCUGGGCAUUUCCUUGUAUGAGAUGCUAACAGGAUUUCCACCUUUCAUGGGUGAAAACCAACACAUACUUCAGGGGAAGAUCCUUAAGGAUAAAAUCAGGCUCCCACCUUUUCUGUCAAGGGAUGCACAUUCACUGUUAAAAGGGCUACUGCAAAAGGAUGCAAACAAACGCCUUGGAAACGGGCCGACAGGUAGCGAAGAGAUAAAGGGCCACAAAUGGUUCAGGUCUAUCAACUGGAAGAAGUUAGAGGCUUGGGAAAUUCAACCAAGUCUUGUUCCACAAAUUACUGGAAAACAAUGCAUCACCAACUUUCAGGAGUGCUGCAGUAACUUGCCUGUGAUUGAUUCUCCAGCUUGCAGUCCAAGAUGCGCCAACAAUACAUUCCAAGGAUUCACUUAUGUAAGGCCUGCAGCUGCUUUUUAACAAUAACAGCUAAUAAUUAGUCAGGUAGUCCAUGGAUAGUCUGCUGCUCUGCUACUGUUGUAUUUGUUGUCAUAAUUAUCUUGUCUCUGGAGCCUGGAGGAAUAUAUAUCUGAAGAAUCUGGAGUAUGGCUUAUGUAAAUAUCUCUUUUGUGUAAUAUUAAUGGAGAAACUGUUUUGAUGAAUGUAUUACUCCUCUUGUUUGUGUAUGCAUGAUUUGUUCUAAUACCUAACAACAAUUACGGGCUGAAAGGAAAAGACCACAGCAGCCACGGGACUCUUUUGAUUGUAGCCAUGGAAUUCUCUAUACCUAGAAAAUAUGUCCAUCAAUCAAGAAUUGGUUCUUCUAGGUCCCCUUUGUUUCCACAAGAAAACAAAGCUCAAAUUCUGAGAAUUGCCGAAGUAGCUUAAGAAAUUUUUAAUGUCGAGUAACAAGCUUUAGGAACCGACCAUAAUGAUAAUCAUUAUUGUCAUAACUAGAGUCUUAUGACUUUGAUUUGUAUAGAUUAUAGACCUAUAUAUGACUUUGAUUUAUGUACAUUCACAGAAAAUUGAAACCAUAGAGUUGAGUUUCUAGGAUUCAGAGCCCUUGAAUUCAAAUCUUACGAUUCAUAAGUUUGAUUAUUUGCCUUAAAAUUGUAGAGAUUGUUGUAAUUUGAUUAACCUGUGAUUAAUUUAUUGUAUUAAUCCCACAAUUGUGCUAAAAAUAUUUCACCUAUAAACCUUUUUCUCUUCCACGAAUUUCCCAUUGCGAUCUAGCUAAACUUCCAAUAUCGCACAUAGUGCUGAGAACUUUCAAAAUCCUAUGCUCCAGUCUUUGAUUCAUUAGUACAAUAAAAAUCCUAUAAGUUUGCUACUUCCAAAAAAGUGCCUAUUCUUAAUCAUCCCUUCCGAGUUAGGGCGCCAAAUUCUAUCAAAACCACAAUUACUAAAGCGCAGAAUUGCCUAUUAUUGAUAUGUAAAGUCCAGAUACUUCUCUAUUAACUAUAAUCCGGGAUUUAAUAGUCUGGCCAAAUUUAAAAAAAUACCACAAGUACUCAGAAUCCUGAUGAUAUCUGGAUUUUGAUGUUCUGAGAUCAGCUGUAGCUCCAGCCUCCAUGCAUGUGUUCAAGAAUUCCUAAACUAAUAGUGGUUAAUUAGCUUAGUCCAUUCUCCAAAAUCUGCGUUUUGUGGCACCAAAAACUCCCAUAAAAACUUCCCCAAGAAAUCCUAAAACAUCGGUCCAGAGAGGAUUUGAUGAGAGUUUAAGUCCCUUGGUCCACCUUGAAAGUCAGCAAUUGCCUUUUGAGUUGGGUUGAAUUAGGUUUAAAAUUUCUUCCUCUCUAUUGUUGGAAAGAAAUCCAUAAAACAUAGCGAAUUCGCAGUUACUAAAUAAUAUGUCCUGUUUUACAUCUCAGAAUAAUGUUUCAGUUUGAAGAUCUAAAGUAAGAACCGAAGGAAGAGUUUUAUGCGUCCAAUGCAAAAAACCAUGGCUAGCACUUGGCUGGUUGAGAAAUUGCUGCAGCAUUCCAUAAAUUUCCUUGUUUCAUUCAGUUGACAAAGGCUUCUCCCUUCAUUAUCAAACAAGAAUCAGUAUCCCACCUUCCAAUGUCCUAUCACAAAGAACGUAGAAUUCAACCAGUUUAUAUUUCAUGGAAGAAGUAUAUCUUAUACCUGAAAAUUAGGGAUUCUACCUAUACCUGAAAAACAAAUGUUUCCUUCUAGAGUUUCUACCUAUACAUACAGGCAGCAAUAAACUGCACGGAUUUGAAUGUCACAUUUCUUCCCCCUUUUUUUGUUGGGUUGGGGGCAGGGGGUUGUUGAUAAGCAAGAUUACUUGAAUCCCACUUUCCCUCGAAGUACUUCAGAUUUCGCUUUGUAUUAUACGUUCAUGCACAAGAAAAAGUGUGCACUGAUCAGAAAAUGCAAAUUAUACCAUUUGCUUUACAUAUCUUGGUGCUACAAAUCAUUGAAUGGACGUGUGAUUUUUCAGAUUGAUUUUCUUCUGCAGUUCUGCUUCUUGUACUUCUAUUAUGAUCCCCAAAUAUGUAUGAAUCAUACUGUUAGGUCUUCACUUGUAAGAAAUAACUCUUUGGUAAUGGACCUAUAUCCUGUGAAUGAUUCCCUUGAAAAGAUUCUCCAGAGAGCAUCCAAUGAUUGGUGGACCGGAAUUGUUAAAAUAUGUCAAACUAAGCUAUAAUCAUCAUGGAAAAGUGGAACCAUCCAAGAAAGAGAGAAUUUCUAUAGUGAACAAAAAGAAGGCAAUUACAUCGAAAAACAAAAGCUACCUGGCAGUAAAGCAAAAUAUUCCGAAUGAAGCAACUUUGCCAUGAAACAAAAGAAAAAGGAAAAUUGUAGAUUCCACAGUACCAGCAAAACAAAAAUGUGAAAUACUCUUACGAUCACAGUGCAACCAUAAAGAACAAUGAAAUUAAUCCAACCUUCAUGACACAACAACAAUCAAUUAAGGGGAAAGAAAGACUCAUCUCACAACAAUGAUCCUUUUCUAAUUGCAACCAAUCUUUCUUCCCUCUUCUUCCAUCUCAUACUGAUUUUCCAUUUUUUUUCUUUUUUGAAUAGAAAAAAAGAGCAACUAACUGACUGAAAAUUUUGGAGAAACCAAGGUCUUGGCAUGCGGAAUAUACCUCCAAGUCUCAUUCAUUUGAAAAACCCUACCCUUCUCCAGGUGAAAUGAUUUGAUCACUCCUGUCUUCACAUUGUAAGUAAUGCAGUUUCUCGUCGGAUGUAUCUUAUGAUGGUAGCACCUUUCAUUUGGGAUUCCAUCUUCAUGUACAACGUAGAAGAUUACAAUCUCCCCAUCUUUCAGCCAACCAACAGGCACAAUUUGAAACCCUCCUGGACAUAAACUGCGCCGAAGCAUUUGCUUGUGAGGCCCUAGAUCGAUAUUGGCCAGCUUAGUCCAUUCUCCAGUUUCUGCAUCUUUUAGCAACCACAGCUCCCAAGAAAACUUCCCCAAGUAAUCCAUAAAACAAAGUGACUGCCCAGUUCCCAAAUAUCUCCUUCUUUUCAUCUCAGAACAUUGUGGAGCAGCACAUAUGUAGAAAGUCUCAGUUUCGAGAUCUAAAUUAAGAACUAAGGGAAGCUGAUCAUGUGGCCAAUGCAAAAUCCCAUCAGUACUCACAAUUGGCUUCUUGAAAAUUAAGUCAAUGCCUCUAAAUUUCUCAAAUUUCCAAGUUCCAUCCAGUUGACAAAGACACCUCCAUUCUUUAUCAACACCAAGUGUCAGGAUCCCUAUUUCUAAUGUCCACUGAUGACUAUAGUAGAACUCAACCAGUUUAUAUUUCUUGGAACAAGUAUAUCCCAUAGCCGAAAAACAUAUAUUUGCCUUGGCUGCAGCUGAAGGAGGAGGGAUGAUUACGACUUCCUUUGUAACCAAAUUUGCAACAUAACGAUUUUCCUUUUCACUUUUACCCAUUAACACCAAACCAUUACAGCUACUCAUACUAUAUAUUGGCAAAGCAGAAGAGUCUAACUCAAUGACCUCAAGAUCACGUUUCACCAUUUCCACAUGGUGUAUAUAGUAUUCUGGAUAACUUUGCCUGAUAAGGAUGCCCCUGUCCACCUUUUGGAGGUGCGCAUCAACAAAUGUUGGACUAGAGAUUAUCUUGUACCACUCCCGACAGACAUACCUUACCACAUUGUAAAGUAUGUCAGCAGGAAGAUAGACAAGAAUAUUGAAGAUAAUUUCUGGUGAAAGGUAAGGGAUAGAAGACCUCUUCUGUUUCUUCUGAUCAUUAGUGCGAGGACGUAGGUUAUGCCUCUUACAUUGUCGAAGGCUACCUGAUGCACACCAUCCUACCCUCUUGUGAGCACGACGAGGACGGAGGUUGUACCUUUUGAGCGUAUGGCUGACCUCCAUGGCCAUCUGGGUUAUAAAACAAUCAGUAAAAUUACAGCAUAUUUAGGUGCAGGGAAGGUAACAGAAAGAGAAUUGAGCAUUUGCCAUCUGGAUUACAAAAGAACUGAAGUUGGUGUUCUCUGCUAAUUACUUGUUACCAAUCAGUAAAACAACAACACACUUAAGGGAGAGAAAAAAAAAAGACAAAAAAUAAAUAAAUAAAACAGACGACAUGGAGAGAAUUGAAACUAGCAUAAUUACAGUUAAGUCUCCGUUGCAAACUGCCAGCAUAAAAUGUAAACGACGAACAUAUUGUGCAAGAAGCUCAAAAUUAACAGGAAAUUGAACUUUGAAAAUUUAAGUCAACAGCAUCAACAAUAAAUACAAAUGCAUUCCAAAUCCAUUCCAAAUUUUCAAAGUUCCAAUAGAUGAUCCAGGAACGGAUUUAAACAAAACCAAAAAAAAAAGAGAGCUGGAGCAAUAUUUUAUGUUGGGUUCAUCUGUUUUCAGAAAUCCAAGGAUCCCAGAAACUUCCAGCUGACAAAGUCCAAAGCCAAAUCAUUAAACAGAGAGAGAGAGAGGCCAAAAAAAUGUAGUAAAAGGCUGUCUAUUAACAAUGGAACAAGGCAUUUAUGUGUAUAAGCAAAAGCUAUAUUCGACUCUCAAACCCUGUUCUCUCCUCGUUCCCCCUUAUAAGGCUUGAACCUUGGGGUCUACCUUUGAAAAAAAAAAUCCCAUUCUUGCAUUUUCUGCAGUGCCUCUUUGCUUAAGAUCCACAGAAAAUCUUCAGUGGACAAGAAUAAUAACGUAAAUGGUGUGUAGACAAGGAUAACAUUGGUUUGCCAUGACUGGAAACUAAAGCGGCUAUAGAUUCUAAUGCACCGCUAUUAGAACAUAAAAGUUAUUUUGUUAUAUUAGUAUUUGAUAGAUAAGCACAAGUUUGAAACAACAAUCAUGGCUUUUUAUUUCUGCAGGGGAAAAAAUUGCAAAAUGAUGAGCAAAGAUAUCAAUCAAGAAAAAAAUAAAGAUUCAAAUCCAUUUUUUUCCUUUUUUUGGCAGCAAACAAGGUUAAUUGCAUAUUGUGAGCAAGGAUAUCAAUCAAGACUUCUUGAUCCAGUAAACAAAUAUUCAAUCCUUUUUUGGGUUUUUUGGGGAGGAUAAUUCCCCUAAACAUUUAUCUAACUCCAUCCCAAAUCAAUUUAAGAUUUUCAAAUUCCAGAAUCAGCAUUUUCUGCACAAACAAUUGAAGAAAAAGGCGCCUUUUGAAGUUUCAGUAAUCAUAAACUGAAUAAUUGAAAGGAAAAAAAAAAGAACAUCUUGGAAACUUACAGUUGAAGUUUUCCAAAGCAAAAUCGCCCAAAAAAAAACAGCAAAACGAACUAGUAAGAGGAUAAUUAUGAGCAAAAGGCAUAUGGGAUUCUUAGGCACCCGACCCGACCCGACCCGACCCGACCCGAAAGUUAUCCUGCUGGAUGAUCCAUUUCAUCCACCUCAACUGCAACUCACCCGAAAAAGAAAAACUCCGUUUAUGCACCCUAGAUUAGGAGUGAUAUCAAGUUGAGUCGAGAUUGAACAUUAUCAUACUUGAGCUCGAACUCGAUACCUUGUAGCAGUAUUCAAAGUCAAACUCAAGCGAGUUAUUUGAACAAAGCUUGAGCUCGAUUCGACGUAAUAUUAAGAGGCUCGAACUUGACUCAAUAGAGCUAGAAGUUGGCGAGCUCGAUAUCGAGUUCGACUACUUGAGCUCAACAAUUGGAUAGGAUCGUAAAUAUUGUAAAUGACAACCUAAAAGGGUAAUUUAAUUAUUUAUAAUAUAUUAAUUAAAUAUUAUACCAAGUACUCGAUAGAGCUCAACGAGCUCUCGAGCAUAUGAUAUAUAUACUCGAGUUUGACUCGAAACCUCAAUCAAGUAGCUCAAACUCGACUCAAACUCAACAUUAACCGAGCUCGAGUCAAGAGGUUGAUCGAGCUACUCGCGAGUUCAAAUUAAUCUGCUCAAUUAAAUUGCACCCCUACCUAGAGUGGGUUGGAGCUCUCAAAGUUUGAUGAUUAUUCGAAACUCCGGAUUGUCCACCAAAACAAUAUCAUAUGAGUAUUGGAGUUAAGUAAUAUCAUUUCUCUUCAUUGAGGACGUGAGAUUCGGCCAUAUUACAGUCUUCCGCUUACCAAAAUCUAUAAUAAAUAUAGGGUAAAUUACUAAUAAUCCAUCUUUGAUUUCAUCUAUUGCCAUAUAAACAUUUUAAUGUUUCAAAAUAUCCAUUUCAAAAUAUAGUUCCAUGUAAACUAGAAAUUUAACAGAAAAUGGUCUAUGUAACCAUUAAUGCAAAAAAUAAAUUUUUGUUGUAUCAACUAGUGUCCAUUAAUAUCAAUUAGGAUCUUACCUUAUAUAAUAUUAGUCUAGGUUCAUUUAUUCUAAGUGUCUGGCUAGAUUCAUUCGGAACAGCUUAUAAAUAGUGUGUAACUAGUGGAAUCGGUGGACUGCAAUCUCAAACACGAAGAUAUAGGCUAUGGGGGAAUGCUGGAUUGGCAAAUCUUAUUUCAAAUGUUGGUCUAUUCCGCAUGGAGGGCAAGGACAAAUUCUUGAUAGAAGGCGAGAAUCAACUAUUGAAAAUGACACCAGUAACUGUCUGGUCAAUGGUAGAACAGGCAAAGAGAGCAAUAAGCCAAGGAGGAGGGAAAAACAAAAACAAGAAUGUUUGAUUAAAUGGAUACCUCCCCUGCAGGAUGUGUAAAGGUGAAUGUGGAUGGAGCAUCAGGGGAAACCCAGGAGAGCUGCUGCGGGGGGGUUAAUGCGAGAUGAAAUGGGAAGAAAGGGAGGUUUCUCGGAAAAUAUGGGGAUAGCAACCAACGUUUCAGUGGAGCUAUGGGCAAUUUGGAAUGGUAUUCAAUUGGCUUGGGAUAAAGGGUUCAGGAAGGUGAUCAUAGAAACUGAUUCACAAGUUGCUCUGGACCUAAUCAUGGAGGUGGAACACACAUCUCCUCAUUUCAAUCUGGUUCGACAAAUUCGGGAAUGGAGUCAUAAAGAUUGGGAGUGCCGUUUGCACCACACUUGGAGAGAAGGCAAUCGGUGUGCUGACUGGCUGGUGAAAUUAGGGGUAAAUGAUCAGUGCACGUGUGGAGUUCUAGAAGUCCCUCCAGACCAUGGUUCAAAGUCUCGGCGGAGACCGAAACGACUCAGCCGAGUCAUCACCGGAACGGACCUCUCCAUUCUGAUACUAGGACGAGAUGACUCCGAGAUCUAUGAGUUAUCGAGAAUCAGCCGAGUCACUGAGAACUCGGUCGAGAAAUCUCCAAUACAAAUAGUCUCGGCCGAGUUGACCCAAGUCAUUUUUCUUUUACUAAUUUUUAUUAUUAUUUUGUGUUUAGCAUAUUUUAAUAUUAUUUAUAAUUUUUAGAGUAUUAAAUGUUUUAAAUUUUGAGUCUCGCCAAGACCGUAACCAAUAUGUCGAGACUGAUGUGGAACGGUUCGGCCCAUGACCAUGAUCGCGACUUUGAACCAUGCUCCGGACCAGAUUAGGGAGUUGCUAGGAACUGAUGUCAUAGGGGUUGCUACCCCUCGUUGUGUACCAUGUUAAGAGGCCUUAGCCUCCCCCUUGUAACAAAAAUAUAUAUAUACAUAAAGCUGAAGCAGUAGAAUUUGAAUAGUAACGACUAUCUAGCCAACUUCCUCCGAUCAUCCUCGAUGAUUGUGUCUAAUAAAUCAUUUGCAAACCUUUGCAAUGAAUGGAGUUUAGCCACCUGAGAAGUCUAAUAAAUUACACCAAACCACGUUGUCCAACUUUUAAUUUGCAAUUCACCACCUUUAUGUAAUUACACCAAGACAAAAGCUAUUAUGAGUUGCAAUUCACUACAACAAACUUACAUUUCCAAAAUACCCCUCCCUUUUUAAUUCAACUAAUUACCUACUAAACCACAUUCUCCCCAAUUUAAUUAGAGAUUAAGGAAGUUUAUUAGGUAAUUACAGCCACACAAAGGCUAUUAUCACUUGUUCCUACUGCUAAAAAGACAACCAAAAUAAUCAUACAUUCCCAUAAUACCAUAAAAAGGCACAACCUCAUUUCUGGAAAUGUACGGCAAAAGAACUCACCAUAAAUUGUACUCUGUGAAGUACCCACAAGACAAAAAAUCUUACAAUUCUAAAAUGACCUUACGCUUGCAGUUGAAAUUCAAAGACCAUUUUCGCUUUAAACUCGUUCUUAUAUGAUACAAGGAAUCAUGUAUCCAACAAACAUUUUUCUCCCAAAUAAUUCUUCCAACAUUAAGAGCUUUGUGCUCAAUCUAUCAGUAGUCAAUUUCCGAUUACUUUCAUUGAUUACCACAGCUAAAAUUAACAUGAAAGAGGUAGACAAUCAAGUUAACUCACAUUGCUUCUUGUUCUGAUACCUAACAACAAUUACGGACUUAAAGGAACUAGAAGGCAUGCAUGUAAUCAUUAAAACUACUUCAACAAACAAGAAAUAGUAAUCAAUUACAUAAGAAAUAAAACAAAGGAGAAACAAAUACUUGAAUAUAAAUGAAAUACAAAUACCGAAUGUAUCUUCUCACAACCAACGAUGGAGAUGGAAGUUUUCUCCUUGAACUGAAUUAAAAAUUUUAGCUACUCAUCUUCUAGAGAAAAUGCAGAGAAAAGAAAAAGAAAAUAACUAAGGAAUGAAUAGGAUGCUCUUGGCGUAUUCUAAUGCUCCCUAUUUAUAGUAAAAAAAACUGCCAUUAUCAAAGCUAAAAGAUAAGGACAUAAGGACAAGACAUUUGAAAAAUCUCUCAAUUCCCACCAAACUUCUUUUCAAAAAUUAUUUGUUUGGUCAAUGUAUAAUCACUUGAUAAGAUUUCCAAAAUGCAAAUGUCUUUCCAUCUUAAGUGCUUCUAAUAUAUCUCUUCCACCACAAUAUUCUUGAUUUUCCUUCAUAUCUUCUUAAUUCAAACUUCCAGCAUGAUUUUUUUGCAAAGAAUUUUUCUAACGGAUGCCCCAUUAAUACAACUAGUAUCCACCUAACCUACCAUAUAUAUAGAUAUACUAAUAAUUAUUAUCCUCCCAUGCAUUUAUAUACUUUUCCUAUUUAAUCUUACCUACUCUCCCUUGUAUUUAUUACUUUUUCUAAUUAAUCUUAUAUUUUCAAAAAUAUAACACCUGAAAUAUAUUUUAAUAAGUGCCCUAUAGGCAUUCGUUAGACAAACCGUUUUGCAAAUCAUAGAAAAUAUACUUAUAAUUUGACAAAUCUAUAAUAAAAGUUAAGUAAAUCAGAAGAUAAAUAUAUACAAAUAAUGUAUUUAUUAGAUGUAAACCAAACUUAAAAAAACCCCAAAGUGUAGGCGCACAUCACAUAUGCGGUUAUAUUAAUAUCUUUUCUUAAAAAACAUUACAUUUUGUAAAACAAGUAGUUUGGCUAAUAGUCAUAGUCAAUAUAUAUAUAUAUUUAUAUAUAUAUAUUCAAAGUGUAGCUGCACAUACUAUUACUUUUUAAAAAAAAUGUUUGCAUUUCAUAUUCCAGUCCCCAAAGACUGGAAUGCAAAAAAUGCAUGUGCGACGACAUUGUUUUAAAAAAAUAUAUAAGUUUCUCCAAUCACUGCAUAUUGCAUGUGCAGCGGCCCUAGAUUUAGAAAGGGAUCUAAAAACUCCUAAUUUUGUAUUUUUUUCAUCAUGUGCGAAGACAUUGUUUUAAAAAAAUAUAUAAGUUUCUCCAAUCAUUGCAUAUUGCAUGUGCGGCGACCCUAGCUUUAGAAAGGGAUCUAAAAACUCCUAAUUUUGUAUUUUUUUCAUCAUGUGUGAAGACAUUGUUUUAAAAAAAUAUAUAAGUUUCUCCAAUCAUUGCAGAUUGCAUGUGCGGCGAUCCAAUCAUUGUUUUUUGUAUUUUUUUUCAUACAUAAGCCGAAAAUUCAAAACCCCACUUCACUUUUUGGUCCAAUAAAAACACCAAUAUUUUUUCCCUGUCCAUUUACUUCCGACAUAUGUUCAACUUUAUUUUUUCUAAUCAUUAUAGCUUAGUCCUUUAUAUUUUACCUUUGACGAAAUUGGUGGCUUAACUUUGUUUUCCCUCAAUUUUAAGCAUAUUAAUUAUUUGUCAACUUCUUUCCAAUUCAAUUGUUUGAUUUUAUUUUUUGCGCAACCAUCAACCUGCAUAGAUUACCCUUUUCUGAGUUUCAUCACGGAGCUAUGUUUGCGUUGCCUUUGGUUUAUUGACAUGAAAACUUGUUUAGUCUAUUGAGGGCACCAUUCACUCAAUAUGUAUCUCUCAAUGAUGAUAGCAAUUUAAAUUUUAAAAUUAUUAAAUCUAAGGUUCAAAAAUAAUUAUUUCACCAUCCAACAUCACAUAACCCCAAAAAUGUACUUUAGAUUCUCUCCAUCAAUAUAGACUAAAAUAAUUUGUGAUUAUUGCCAAGUAUGGAACUUUGUAUAGGGUGUAGCGUGUCUUCAAAACUUUUCUAUAUGAUUAACGAAAUUGUGCCCUUGUUUUUUCUUCUUUUUUCUUGGCUAAAUUAUGCUCUUGUUAUAUAAUAAAAAAUUUUUAACCCCACGUGUACCCCCGCGGGGGAAGCGGGGCGGGGGGAAUUAAAAUGCAACGGGGCGGGGAUUGGGGGAGGUGUCGCCCGCCCCACCCCGCCCCAUUGCCACCCCUACAUGUAUGCCUUACUCUCUUGUUUAUUUAUAUAUUGGUCACGUCUUACUCAUCAAAAUGGGGACACAGUAAAUUUGACAACCAUAUAGGACUUUAUGUGGUUAAAUGUAAACCACCAAGGGAUUAAAGGUGACUUCGCCAACCAUUUUUUAUUUUUAAAAACAUUUUGUUUUUUCUCUGGAUAAAGUGCAACAAAAUCUUAGUUGAACAUUAAUAAUCACAAAAUCAAAUAUUUACUCACGGUCAAGCUUACAAUAUAUAGCAUAAUGAAUUAUUUUGUGGGCGAGCACGAUUGAUGUAGAUAAGCACCUCCUACAAUUUUUAAUACAAUUAUGUUCCACGAUUUAUACCAAUUGUGCAAAUAAUUAUGCAUUCGGCUCCAUAAGAUUAAAGAAUAGUACUAGUAUUUUCAAGAGUGUGAUCGUUAAGGAACUUCUUUCAUAUUAAUAUCUCGUGUCCUUGUUAAGCCUCCUUGAUUUAGUCUUUCACUGGUUAAAGAAAACUUUUGAUACCAUGAAUGAUGCCUUAGUGAAUGUUAGUCUACUAGUGCUCAUAUCAAGAUGUAAGUUGAAUUUUGUUCAAAUUGGAGAUUUUUGUAUGUGGGACUUGUUCUCAUUUACUUUAGCAUGUGAUCAAAUACUAAUUUUUUUUUUUUGAGUUUUUUGAUAAGAAAAAGUUUGGAUGGGUUCGACUCUGAUUAGCACCACAUGUCAUGACAUACCUUCAAGAUCAUAGGAGCUUACAGAAGUUCUUACAGAUCGCUCACCAAUACAACCCUCACAUCGACAGUGAGAUUCGAACACGUGAUCUUUUUUGAGGAAGGGAUUUGUUCUUACGAAUUGAACCAACUUAUAUUGACUUUUUUGUAAUGCCUUCAGCAAACAUGUGCACUUCUUUGCCUUUCAACCGUGCCUCUUCGCCUAAGAUCAACGUAAUCUUCGAACCUUUUCGGUUUUAGCUUUGGAAACCAACCUGCCUCUUCUGAAUUUUGAGAGUGAAAAAGGAAUAAAAUUUUCCUACUAUACGAGAGGAGAAGCUAUCCUGCAGUUAAGAGGUAGCCCUCCGGCAAAACAAAGACUCCAAUUUGGGUACUCUAGAAAAAUCGAUUUAGACAUCUUAAAGUUUAGACAAUAUUGAAAUUUUUGGAUUGCCUGCCUAAUCAACAUUACAUACUUCUGUAAUAUGUUAAAAGACGAUUGUGUAAUUUCUUGUACUUUUUAGAUAUGCUGAUAAUUUUUCAGAUCAUUAGAUCUAUAAUAUUUGAUACAUAUUUAACCUAUCAUUAGAGCAAUUAUGUAAAUCAAAUUGUGUCGGACGACCUUCGCGAUCUAUGUACUUCUAUGUGCAAUUUUAACGUCUCGUGAGUUGUGACAAGACAGUAUUACGGUCACGAGAUGAAGACUGUAAAUGGGACCUGCGCUAACUUGAUCAUUAGGCCCUUCAAAAGUGGGACAGUUCUUUACAUGAACUUGGAUCGGAAUGGGAAUAGGAAAGAAUUAACCCCGAUUUAAGAAUAGGCCAAGUUUGGGUUAUAUAUAAACUUGGCCCAACUAAGACACAACCCAUUAUGCCUAUUUAAAAAUUGUUUACAAUUGAUUUUAUACAUUUGUGAGCUCUUUUUUAGAGGUAAUUGCAUUUAGGGUGUGUUUGGUUGGAAGUAAAUGUUUUCCUUGGGAAAAUAUUUUCCGUGGAAGUAAUUUUCCAUGAAAAUCAUUUCCCUUUCAUCAUUUUCAGGUGUUUGGUUAGGUUAUUGAAAAUAUUUUCUUACUUCAUUUUUUCUCGGUGUUUGUUUAACUUUUGAAAAUAUUUUUACUUUUAUCUCUAUCUUUACUUUCUACACAUUAUAAUUACAUACUUCUUCUCAUGCAAAAUAAGAAAAUUUAUCUCAUUGUUUAACUUUAAAAAAUCUUGGAGAAAUGUAUAUAUGAAUAAAAAAUAUCUCCUUAAGCAAUAAACAAAUUGCUGGCCAUUUAAGUGUCAAAUAUCAAUCAUAUGCAAUGCUUAUUGUGACAUAUAUCUUGCAGUCUCACUGCUGAAAGUUCUCUAGAAAAAAAUGUCCCUAUUAUACAUAAUUAAUUACUAGCAUGCGAUGAGCAGGAUGAGGUUUUUUUUUUUAUUUUGAAUAUACUAAGGGGAGGGUUGGGUUGGGUUGGGUGGUAUGGGGGAGGGAGUGUAAGGAAGAGGUCUUGGAUUCGAGUUCUCUUGUUUACACUAAAAAAAAAAAGAAUACUACAAGAUAUUUUCAGUAAGUUUGGAACAUACUACAGGCGGGAUGCAUGCAUUUCGGAAAACAACUUCAGUAAGUUUGGAAGGGAAGUUGUUUUCCAUAAGAUUAGUGAAAAUAUUUUACAUAGGAAAAUGUUUUCAGUAACUUUUGUGCAACCAAACACGGGAAAUUAGGAAAAUAUUUUCCUGGAAAAUAUUUUCACCCGAAACAAACGGACCCUUAAUCACAAAGGUUUGGAUCUUAACUAAGAUAUAUUCCUAUGAGGUACUUAAACAUCUCAUUUACAGCUUAGAACAUAUCAUCGUUGAAAUAUUAGAGGUCUUCCUAUUUGGGCUAAGCUUGGACUCGAGCAAAUGACUGGCCUAUAGGCCCAAAUUGACAAGCCUAACUCCAAUAGGUCAAUGGGUAGAACAAAACCCAAUAUUUUCAUACUUUAAAAAAAAAAAAAAAAAAAAAACAAGCAUGCAUUCACUUAAAUAGCUUUUUUUUUUUAAAUAGCAAAUCAUAACACAUGAGUUAUUAUGGAGAUCUAAUUUUCAAGAAUCAAUUCGAUGAGCUUUUACAAAUUGAUAAACAAUUAAGGGCAGGCCAUAUACAAAACAAUCAACUUCAUUUCUACCAUAUUGAGGUAUCACAUAAUUAAGAAGGGAAAAAAAAUGUGAACAUUGAGGUAGUGUGAGCCACAUGACAGUGUGAAGAUAUUGAUUAUUAUUUGUGCACUGCGUAAUACAUUAGAUGCUACAUUAGUUUCUAUUAUUUAGCACAAAGUAAUGAUAAUAAAUUAAUACCUUAUAUACUGCUAGUGUAGCACGCGUCGUCAUGGUAUUGCUUCGCGCACAAAGUAGAGCUACAAAUGAAUCGAAUCUAAUAGAGCCGUUUUACAAAUUCACUUGAUCAAAAAUACCUUAUUUGAAUUUGAGCAGCUUGUAUAGCUAGACGAACUCGAGUAUAUUGAAUAAAAUUAAGUUUUUUCAAAGGGCAUUGUUAAUAAUGCAUGUUAGGUAGUGGGUAGGUUAUUUAAGGCCGCUUUUCAAACAAAACACAGUGAAAUCACUCGAAAAAUAUCAUAUGUUCAUAAUAAGGAAAUAAACAUGGACUUACAAGAUCGAGUAAUCAUCAUCUAAAUGCUCUAAAAUACAGUAAAUCCUGAGAAUGGUAGUUAAAUUAUUAGUGUGACUCAAGAAUCAAGAUGGAACAAAUUACAAAAUAAGACAACUGAAAAAAAAAAAUCUUCAAUUUGGGGUACGUAUGUGUCAAAUCAGAAGAAACUAAUAAAAAGAGCAAUUGCUAAGCCAACAAGUGAGUAGUGUCUUUGCGUGGUUGUAGUGCUUUGUCCACCAUUUUUAGGAGAUGUAGGACUGGAAGCUGACCCUUCUGGGAUGAGGUUUCUGUUUUGAAAUGAGAUAGAGAAAGAAUGAUAAGGUAAGAAUGCACAGAGUACAGUAAGGAAAUAUGUUAGCAGUAUUUAUUUUAAUUUUUCUCUAUUUUCCCUUAUUCUCCUUUUUUUCUCUUUGCAGGAAAUUUUAUUUUUCAUUGAUUUUAUACCCAACAAUAAUUACACCAGAAAGCUAGGGUGUACCUACAAAUUGGUGUGUGUAUAUGACAAUUUAUAAGGGCAGCCAUUUCAAAAAUCAUAAAAUAAGUUAACAAAGAUUAUGGCCAUAGUAAGUGAAUCAAGAAAAUGUUAUAGAAAGAAGCAAGAUUUCAAAG
rnacentral:lncRNA from 1 species